rnacentral:lncRNA from 1 species
AGGAGACUUUACAAAUACAAAAUUCAUGAUUGAAAUAUUGACAAUCUAACCCGAUACAACGCACGGACAGUUUUACUAGUUAUCUCUAAUAUAAACAAUGUUUGUCGUCGCGGAAAUAUAUAGUCAACCGCAAGAGGACGGCGCGAAACUUGUCAAGAAAAGAAAACAAAAAACAAAGAAAGAGAUGUUGCGAUGACGCCACACUAACAAAGGAUAAGAAACCCCGAAAGCAACCUAAACAUGAGAUUUACAAAAUUCGAUCACCGAUGGUACAAAAUUGCAACGUGGCUACAACGGUUAGUGCUAUUACAAUUUGUCAGUUCAAAAUGAAAAUCCACAGCGCUACAAUCCCUUAGAUGUUGACGAANNNNN